UGAGUAACCUGCCCUUAACUCUGGGAUAAGCCUGGGAAACUGGGUCUAAUACCGGAUAUGACUCCUCAUCGCAUGGUGGGGGGUGGAAAGCUUUUUUGUGGUUUUGGAUGGACUCGCGGCCUAUCAGCUUGUUGGUGAGGUAAUGGCUCACCAAGGCGACGACGGGUAGCCGGCCUGAGAGGGUGACCGGCCACACUGGGACUGAGGCACGGCCCAGACUCCUACGGGAGGCAG
rnacentral:rRNA from 1 species